rnacentral:rRNA from 1 species
AGCGGAGGAAAAGAAACUAACCAGGAUUGCCCUAGUAACGGCGAGUGAAGCGGCAACAGCCCACACUGAAAAUCGCUUCGGCGAGUUGUACAGUGCAGACGUGAACCUCGCACUUUGCGACCUUUGUAACUCCCUUGGAAUAGGGGACCGGAGAGGGUUAUAGUCCCGUAACAGAGGCUGCAGGGUGACAGGCCGCGUUUAAAGAGUCGGGUAGUUUGGGAUUGCUGCCCUAAGUGGGAGGUAGACUCCUCCUAAGGCUAAAUACUAGCGAGAGACCGAUAGUGGACAAGUACUGUGAAGGAAAGAUGAAAAGAACUUUGGAAAGAGAGUUAAAAGACUUGAAACCGCUAAGGAGGAAGCAGUCUGCCGAGCAUAGCCCCAGAAUGAGAAAAAAGCGGUGCUCUGAGCGAGGCCGUAAAAUGAAUCAUCUGGAGUGCUCGGUAUACUGGCCCGUCUUGAAACACGGACCAAGGAGUCCAGCCUAUGUGCAAGUAGAAAGAGGAUAACUCUAGAUGCGCAACGAAAGUAAUCUCUGUAGCAGCAGAGGCCGCGAUAGCGAGCUCAGCAGAUAGGCUGGGACCCGAAAGAUGGUGAACUAUGCUUGGGAAAGGCGAAGCCAGGGGAAACUCUGGUGGAGGCUUGUAGAGGUACUGACGUGCAAAUCGUUCUUCUGACCUGAGUAUAGGGGCGAAAGACUUAUCGAACCAUCUAGUAGCUGGUUCCCUCCGAAAUUUCCCUCAGGAUAGCAAGAGCAGAGCAGUUUUACCGGGUAAAGCGAAUGAUUAGAGGUUCGGGGGUUGAAAUGACCUUCACCUAUUCUCAAACUUUAAAUUGGUAAGAUGAGGCCGUUACUUAAGUGAACAGCUUCUUGAAUGCAUAGCUCUUAGUGGGCCAUUUUUGGUAAGCAGAACUGGCAACGAGGGGUCAACCUAAGGAAGGGUUGAGGCGACAAAUUGACUGCUUCUAGAUGGAAAGGUGUUGGUUCAUUUAGACAGUAGGACGGUGGCC